ACGGAAGGCAGCAGUGGGGAAUAUUGCACAAUGGGGGAAACCCUGAUGCAGCGACGCCGCGUGAGUGAAGAAGUAUUUCGGUAUGUAAAGCUCUAUCAGCAGGAAAGAAAAUGACGGUACCUGACUAAGAAGCCCCGGCUAACUACGUGCCAGCAGCCGCGGUAAUACGUAGGGGGCAAGCGUUAUCCGGAUUUACUGGGUGUAAAGGGAGCGUAGACGGCUUUGCAAGUCUGAAGUGAAAGCCCGGGGCUCAACCCCGGAACUGCUUUGGAAACUGUAGAGCUAGAGUGCAGGAGAGGUAAGUGGAAUUCCCAGUGUAGCGGUGAAAUGCGUAGAUAUUAGGAGGAACACCAGUGGCGAAGGCGGCUUACUGGACUGUAACUGACGUUGAGGCUCGAAGGCGUGGGGAGCAAACAGGAUUAGAUACCCUGGUA
rnacentral:rRNA from 1 species